GACGACGCUGGCGGCGUGCCUAAUACAUGCAAGUCGAACGAGUGGCGAACGGGUGAGUAACACGUGGGAACCUGCCGGAUGGAGGGGGAUAACUACUGGAAACGGUAGCUAAUACCGCAUACCAUCGGAUGUGCCCCGAUGGGAUUGGCUUGUUGGGGGGGUAACGGCUCACCAAGGCGACGGACCCUAGCUGGUCUGAGAGGAUGACCAGCCACACUGGAACUGAGACACGGUCCAGACCCCUACGGGAGUCAGCAGGGGGGAAUAUUGCACAAUGGGCGCAAGCCUGAUGCAGCCAUGCCGCGUGUAUAAAGAAGGCCUUCGGGUUGUAAAGUACUUUCAGCGGGGAGGCGUUACCCGCAGAAGAAGCACCGGCUAACUCCGUGCCAGCCGCCGCGGUAAUAC
rnacentral:rRNA from 1 species